rnacentral:rRNA from 1 species
UACGUAGGGGGCCAGCGUUGUCCGGAAUCAUUGGGCGUAAAGCGCGCGUAGGCGGUCAGGUAAGUCCGGUGUGAAAGUCAAAGGCUCAACCUUUGAAUGCCGCUGGAUACUGCUUGACUUGAGUCCGGAAGGGGCGAGUGGAAUUCCUGGUGUAGCGGUGAAAUGCGCAGAUAUCAGGAGGAACACCGAUGGCGAAGGCAGCUCGCUGGGACGGUACUGACGCUGAGGCGCGAAAGCGUGGGGAGCGAACAGG